rnacentral:rRNA from 1 species
AUACGUAGGUGGCAAGCGUUGUCCGGAUUUACUGGGUGUAUAGGGCGUGCAGCCGGGGAAGCAAGUCAGGUGUGAAAUGCAGAGGCUUAACCUCUGAAUUGCAUUUGAAACUGUUUUUCUUGAGUACUGGAGGGGCAAUCGGAAUUCCUAGUGUAGCGGUGAAAUGCGUAGAUAUUAGGAGGAACACCAGUGGCGAAGGCGGAUUGCUGGACAGCAACUGACGGUGAGGCGCGAAAGUGUGGGGAGCAAACAGGAUUAGAUACCCUGGUAGUCCACACGGUAAACGAUGAAUACUAGGUGUGCGGGGACUGACCCCCUGCGUGCCGGCGUUAACACAAUAAGUAUUCCACCUGGGGAGUACGAUCGCAAGGUUGAAACUCAAAUGAAUUGGCGGGG